UACGAGGGGGGCUAGCGUUGCUCGGAAUCACUGGGCGUAAAGGGUGCGUAGGCGGGUUUUAAGUCAGGGGUGAAAUCCUGGAGCUCAACUCCAGAACUGCCUUUGAUACUGAAGAUCUUGAGUUCGGGAGAGGUGAGUGGAACUGCGAGUGUAGAGGUGAAAUUCGUAGAUAUUCGCAAGAACACCAGUGGCGAAGGCGGCUCACUGGCCCGAUACUGACGCUGAGGCACGAAAGCGUGGGGAGCAAACAGG
rnacentral:rRNA from 1 species